UACGGAGGGUGCAAGCGUUAUCCGGCUUCACUGGGUUUAAAGGGUGCGUAGGUGGGAUGGUAAGUCAGUGGUGAAAUCUCCAAGCUUAACUUGGAAACUGCCGUUGAUACUAACAUUCUUGAAUCUCGUGGAGGUAAGCGGAAUAUGUCAUGUAGCGGUGAAAUGCUUAGAUAUGACAUAGAACACCAAUUGCGUAGGCAGCUUACUACACGAUCAUUGACGCUGAGGCACGAAAGCGUGGGGAUCAAACAGG
rnacentral:rRNA from 1 species